UUUCUCACGACUAAAAUCUAUUAAAAUAUAGUACUUCUGCUGACGAGCAGGUGCGAAAGAGCUGGAAAAGCUAAAUUGAGUGAUUUUAGUAAAAAAACAGCUCAUGUACGGUUUUAACCCUAAAUGUACGUUUUCAGCGCUGGAUAUGUGCGUUUUGAGAACUCCGUUGCGGCAACACUGCACUCCCUCCACUUCAUUCAUACAACUUACAAUAACAAUGAUAAAACAAAAUUACAAAUGGAAUUUCCUUAUUUAAAUAGAUAUUUUAGCACUAAAUACAUAAUAAUAUGACAAAGAAGAAGAAGACGUUGCGUGUCACCGUAUAGCCAAGGAAAUAUCUUGUGAAAGUUUUAACUCAAGGCGGAAAUUUAUUGAAAAAAUACUCAACAUAACCUACAAUUACAGUGAAAUACUGAAAAUAUCUUGUACCGUGAUAAUAUUUCUGAAUAAUAAGUGCAAACCCAUACUCUAAGAUCGUGCUUUCAACCACAUACUUAAUACAAUUCCAUAAUCAUAUCGAAAUCCAAAAGUUCGUACCUAAGUCGUAAGUGAUCAUAGUUUAGGUGUGUACUUAUUAGACUCAUGCAUUGUAAACUCUAUAAACGAUUACUCGUAAUGUAUUAAUCAUAUUAAAAGUUGAA